rnacentral:rRNA from 1 species
GUGUGUCUGGGUUUCAUGUGACAUGAUGCGAAAUGAUAUAUGAUAUAUGAUGUAUGAUAUAUGAUAUAUGAUAUGACCUAUGAUUUGUGAUAUGAUAUUUGACACAUGAUAUAUGAUAUAUGAUAUAUGAUAUAUCGUAUUUGUGUGUUAGAAGAAGCUGUCUGGGAAAACGGUGUGAGUAGAGUGUCAUUGAGGCAAGGGUUGGGGGGAUAAACAAAAAAAAAGGGG